AUUGAACGCUGGCGGCAUGCCUUACACAUGCAAGUCGAACGGCAGCACGGGAGCUUGCUCCUGGUGGCGAGUGGCGAACGGGUGAGUAAUGCAUCGGAACGUGCCCUGAAGUGGGGGAUAACGUAGCGAAAGUUACGCUAAUACCGCAUAUUCUGUGAGCAGGAAAGCAGGGGAUCUUCGGACCUUGCGCUUUUGGAGCGGCCGAUGUCGGAUUAGCUAGUUGGUGGGGUAAAGGCCCACCAAGGCGACGAUCCGUAGCGGGUCUGAGAGGAUGAUCCGCCACACUGGAACUGAGACACGGUCCAGACUCCUACGGGAGGCAGCAGUGGGGAAUUUUGGACAAUGGGCGCAAGCCUGAUCCAGCCAUGCCGCGUGAGUGAAGAAGGCCUGGUU
rnacentral:rRNA from 1 species